AACGAACGCCGGCGGCAUGCCUAACACAUGCAAGUCGAACGAAGCCUUCGGGCUUAGUGGCGCACGGGCGCGUAACGCGUGGGAAUCUGCCCUUUGGUUCGGAAUAACAGUUGGAAACGACUGCUAAUACCGGAUGAUGACGAAAGUCCAAAGAUUUAUCGCCAGAGGAUGAGCCCGCGUAGGAUUAGCUAGUUGGUGUGGUAAAGGCGCACCAAGGCGACGAUCCUUAGCUGGUCUGAGAGGAUGAUCAGCCACACUGGGACUGAGACACGGCCCAGACUCCUACAGGAGGCAGCAGUGGGGAAUAUUGGACAAUGGGCGAAAGCCUGAUCCAGCAAUGCCGCGUGAGUGAUGAAGGCCCUAGGGUUGUAAAGCUCUUUUACCCGGGAUGAUAAUGACAGUACCGGGAGAAUAAGCCCCGGCUAACUCCGUGCCAGCAGCCGCCGUAA
rnacentral:rRNA from 1 species